CGGACAGGUGAGUAAUGUCUGGGAAACUGCCCGAUGGAGGGGGAUAACUACUGGAAACGGUAGCUAAUACCGCAUAACGUCGCAAGACCAAAGAGGGGGACCUUCGGGCCUCUUGCCAUCGGAUGUGCCCAGAUGGGAUUAGCUAGUAGGUGGGGUAAAGGCUCACCUAGGCGACGAUCCCUAGCUGGUCUGAGAGGAUGACCAGCCACACUGGAACUGAGACACGGUCCAG
rnacentral:rRNA from 1 species